AGUAGUAUUUAUUAGAUUGAAACCAACUGCUUCGGCAUGAUGUGGUGAUUCAUAAUAAGCUUGCGGAUCGCAUGGCUUUGCCGGCGAUGGAUCAUUCAAGUUUCUGCCCUAUCAGCUUUGACGGUACUGUAUUGGAGUACCGUGGCGGUAACGGGUAACGGAAAAUUAGGGUUUGACACCGGAGAGGGAGCCUGAGAGACGGCUACCACACCCAAGGAAGGCAGCAGGCGCGUAAAUUACCCAAUCUUGACACAAGGAGGUAGUGACAAUAAAUAACAAUGCCGGGCCUUUGUAGGUCUGGCAAUUGGAAUGAGAACAAUUUAAACCCCUUAUCGAGGAUCAAUUGGAGGGCAAGUCUGGUGCCAGCAGCCGCGGUAAUUCCAGCUCCAAUAGCGUAUAUUAAAGUUGUUGCAGUUAAAAAGCUCGUAGUUGGAUUUGUGGCCAGUGCCGUGGCGUCCAUUUAUUUGGUUCAGCCGUGGCCUUGCCAUCCUUGGGUGGAUCCUGUGUGGCAUUAGGUUGUCGUGCAGGGGAUGCCCAUCGUUUACUGUGAAAAAAUUAGAGUGUUCAAAGCAGGCU
rnacentral:rRNA from 1 species